rnacentral:tRNA from 1 species
UAUGUGUUGGCAGAUAAUUGUGAUAGCUUUAGGAGCUAUUUAUGUGAAUUUUCACACACAUAU